rnacentral:rRNA from 13 species
GAGCGGCGAACGGGUGAGUAACACGUGAGUAACCUGCCCCCGACUCUGGGAUAAGCCCGGGAAACUGGGUCUAAUACCGGAUAUGACACCUCCUCGCAUGGGGUGGGUGUGGAAAGUUUUUUCGGUUGGGGAUGGACUCGCGGCCUAUCAGCUUGUUGGUGGGGUAAUGGCCUACCAAGGCGACGACGGGUAGCCGGCCUGAGAGGGCGACCGGCCACACUGGGACUGAGACACGGCCCAGACUCCUACGGGAGGCAGCAGUGGGGAAUAUUGCGCAAUGGGCGAAAGCCUGACGCAGCGACGCCGCGUGGGGGAUGACGGCCUUCGGGUUGUAAACCUCUUUCAGCAGGGACGAAGUUGACGUGUACCUGCAGAAGAAGCGCCGGCUAACUACGUGCCAGCAGCCGCGGUAAUACGUAGGGCGCAAGCGUUGUCCGGAAUUAUUGGGCGUAAAGAGCUCGUAGGUGGCUUGUCACGUCGGGUGUGAAAGCUUGGGGCUUAACUCCAGGUCUGCAUUCGAUACGGGCUGGCUAGAGGUAGGUAGGGGAGAACGGAAUUCCU